AGAGUUUGAUCCUGGCUCGAUUGAACGCUGGCGGCAUGCCUUACACAUGCAAGUCGAACGGCAGCACGGGAGUAAUCCUGGUGGCGAGUGGCGAACGGGUGAGUAACAUAUCGGAACGUGCCCAGUCGUGGGGGAUAACGCAGCGAAAGCUGUGCUAAUACCGCAUACGAUCUCUGGAUGAAAGCGGGGGACUCUGCAAAGAGCCUCGCGCGAUUGGAGCGGCCGAUAUCAGAUUAGCUAGUUGGUGGGGUAAAAGCCCACCAAUGCGACGAUCUGUAGCUGGUCUGAGAGGACGACCAGCCACACUGGAACUGAGACACGGUCCAGACUCCUACGGGAGGCAGCUGUGGGGAAUUUUGGACAAUGGGCGAAAGCCUGAUCCAGCAAUGCCGCGUGCAGGAUGAAGGCCUUCGGGUUGUAAACUGCUUUUGUACGGAACGAAACGGUUCACUCUAGUACGGUGGGCUAAUGACGGUACCGUAAGAAUAAGCACCGGCUAACUACGUGCCAGCAGCCGCGGUAAUACGUAGGGUGCGAGCGUUAAUCGGAAUUACUGGGCGUAAAGCGUGCGCAGGCGGUGAUGUAAGACAGAUGUGAAAUCCCCGGGCUCAACCUGGGACCUGCAUUUGUGACUGCAUCGCUAG
rnacentral:rRNA from 1 species